rnacentral:rRNA from 1 species
CAUAAUUUUUUGUGAUGCAUUUACUUGAUUGGUGCUUGGGGAUGUUUGAGGCAGAUUUGUUUCCGCCGUUUUGAGGCCAGCUUGCUGGUACCCAAACGGUGUUAGCAUUUUUUGUCUUGGACAUUUGAGUAUGGCUCACGUGUAUUUAUUGGACAGAUCUGAGUGUAAGUUACGGUCGCAUGCGACACGUGCUUUUCAAUUAGUUCGGUCCAGUUAAUGCUCUCGUACUCSUUCCCCAUGUAAAAGCCGGUCAUCUAUCCGACCCGUCUUGAAACACGGACCAAGGAGUUUAUCGUGUGCGCAAGUUUUUGGGUGUUAAAAACUUAAAAGCGAAAUGAAAGUAAAUGACUCUUUAGAGUCUGAUGUGCGAUCUUGUAAAAAAGUGUAGCAUGGCCCCAUUCUAACUGUUUACAGUAGGGUGGCGGAAGAGCGUACGCGGUGAGACCCGAAAGAUGGUGAACUAUUCCUGAGCAGGACGAAGCCAGAGGAAACUCUGGUGGAAGUCCGAAGCGGUUCUGACGUGCAAAUCGAUCGUCUGACUUGGGUAUAGGGGCGAAAGACUAAUCGAACCAUCUAGUAG